rnacentral:rRNA from 1 species
UACGAAGGGGGCGAGCGUUGUUCGGAAUCACUGGGCGUAAAGGGCGCGUAGGCGGCCCUCCUUGUCGCGUGUGAAAGCCCCGGGCUCAACCUGGGAACGGCGCGCGAGACGGGGGGGCUGGAGUUCGGGAGAGGAGCGUGGAAUUCCCAGUGUAGAGGUGAAAUGCGUAGAUAUCUGGAGGAAUACCGGUGGCGAAGGCGGCAUCCUGGACCGACAUUGACGCUGAGGAGCGAAAGCUAGGGGAGCAAACGGG